rnacentral:rRNA from 1 species
UACGAAGGGGGCUAGCGUUGCUCGGAAUUACUGGGCGUAAAGGGCGCGUAGGCGGAUAUUUAAGUUAGAGGUGAAAGCCCAGGGCUCAACCCUGGAAUAGCCUUUAAUACUGGAUAUCUUGAGUUCGGGAGAGGCGAGUGGAACUCCGAGUGUAGAGGUGAAAUUCGUAGAUAUUCGGAAGAACACCAGUGGCGAAGGCGACUCACUGGCCCGAUACUGACGCUGAGGCGCGAAAGCGUGGGGAGCAAACAGG